UACGGAGGGGGCGAGCGUUGUCCGAAGUUACUGGGCGUAAAGCGCGCGUAGGCGGGUGGGUAAGUCCGCUGUGAAAGCCCGGAGCUUAGCUCCGGAGGGUCGGUGGAUACUGCCCAUCUUGAAGGUGCUAGGGGGAGAUGGAAUUACCGGUGUAGCGGUGAAAUGCGUAGAGAUCGGUAGGAACACCAGUGGCGAAGGCGGUCUCCUGGAGCAUACUUGACGCUGAGGUGCGAAAGCUGGGGGAGCGAACAGG
rnacentral:rRNA from 1 species